rnacentral:lncRNA from 1 species
CCAAAGAUUACUGCUGACAAUUGAGAGCUUGCAGCUCCAGGAAUGCGAGGAGGUGUGGGCCGGAUUGCCUGAGGGUAAGGAAGGCAAGAGUGUGAGGAAAGGGAUGGGUAGAGAUGACUUGAGCCAAAGGUUGUCUGAGAAGGAAGGAGGGAAGCAGCUCAGAGGGCCUUCCCCCCAUGCCCAUGCCUGAAAUGAAGAGAACAGAAGGGCCACGGCUCUAGCAAGGGCUGGGAUACAGAUGCAGAGAAGGAAUGGUCAUGGAAGGGAAGUCCCUUGGGAUCUAAUGCCUAAGAGGAGGGCUGGCUGUCCUGAGAGAUGAGAAAGUCUUCUGUGCUUCUGGGGAGGAACCAUGACAAGAUGGGCAUGGUCAGCAGAGGGAGAAGCUCAGACUGGAGCUGGAGGAAGCUGUGGAGACUACCAAAUGGACUCGUCUAGAUUUCACAUGCAACGUGGCUCUGCCUUCCCUGAGCACUCUGGGCCUUUCCAUGGAGACAGAAUGAAUAGAUAAUGCUGCAGAUGAAAUCUCCUGGAUUCUUGUACCCUCCAGAAAAGAGGGAUGGGUUAAGAUUCAUGCCAGCAAGCCAUUCCAGUUCUCCUUGCCUGGCAGCAGCAUCCAAGCUAGGAUUCCUGGAAGAGAAGUUUGCAGCCCCAGGAAACCAAGGCAUUGACCUGGGCUGUCAGUGGCAGCUUAGGCGAG